GUAAAUGUAUGGGGGAGGGUCAUUGUACACAGCCUUACCCUUGCAUAUACACAAAGAGGCUGUUUCCAGAUUUGAACCCAUAACUAUGG
rnacentral:pre_miRNA from 1 species